CGGAUAACAUACCGAAAGGUAUGCUAAUACGGGAUAAUAUAUUUGAGAGGCAUCUCUUAAAUAUCAAAGGUGAGCCAGUACAGGAUGGACCCGCGUCUGAUUAGCUAGUGGGUAAGGUAACGGCUUACCAAGGCAACGAUCAGUAGCCGACCUGAGAGGGUGAUCGGCCACAUUGGAACUGAGACACGGUCCAAACUCCUACGGGAGGCAGCAGUGGGGAAUAUUGCACAAUGGGCGAAAGCCUGAUGCAGCAACGCCGCGUGAGUGAUGAAGGCCUUCGGGUCGUAAAACUCUGUCCUCAAGGAAGAUAAUGACGGUACUUGAGGAGGAAGCCCCGGCUAACUACGUGCCAGCAGCCGCGGUAAUACGUAGGGGGCUAGCGUUAUCCGGAUUUACUGGGCGUAAAGGGUGCGUAGGCGGUCUUUCAAGUCAGGAGUGAAAGGCUACGGCUCAACCGUAGUAAGCUCUUGAAACUGGGAGACUUGAGUGCAGGAGAGGAGAGUGGAAUUCCUAGUGUAGCGGUGAAAUGCGUAGAUAUUAGGAGGAACACCAGUUGCGAAGGCGGCUCUCUGGACUGUAACUGACGCUGAGGCACGAAAGCGUGGGGAGCAAACAGGAUUAGAUACCCUGGUAGUCCACGCUGUAAAC
rnacentral:rRNA from 1 species